rnacentral:rRNA from 1 species
CCUACGGGAGGCAGCAGUGGGGAAUAUUGGACAAUGGGGGAAACCCUGAUCCAGCCAUGCCGCGUGUGUGAAGAAGGUCUUAGGAUUGUAAAGCACUUUAAGUUGGGAGGAAGGGCAGUUAACUAAUAUUUGACUGUUUUGAUGUUACCGACAGAAUAAGCACCGGCUAACUUCGUGCCAGCAGCCGCGGUAAU